rnacentral:tRNA from 1 species
UCCCUGAUGGCUUAGCUGGUAAAGAAUCUGCCUGCAAUGUGGGAGACCUGGGUUUGAUCCCUAGGUGGGGAA